GUAGGUGGCAAGCGUUGUCCGGAAUUAUUGGGCGUAAAGCGCGCGCAGGUGGUUCGUUUAAGUCUGAUGUGAAAGCCCCCGGGCUCAACCGGGGGAGGGUCAUUGGAAACUGGGGAACUUGAGUGCAGGAGAGGAGAGUGGAAUUCCACGUGUAGCGGUGAAAUGCGUAGAUAUGUGGAGGAACACCAGUGGCGAAGGCGACUUUCUGGCCUGUAACUGACACUGAGGCGCGAAAGCGUGGGGAGCAAACAGGAUUAGAUACCCUGGUAGUCCACGCCGUAAACGAUGAGUGCUAAGUGUUGGGGGGUUUCCGCCCCUCAGUGCUGCAGCUGACGCAUUAAGCACUCCGCCUGGGGAGUACGGUCGCAAGACUG
rnacentral:rRNA from 1 species